rnacentral:rRNA from 1 species
UAGCAAUACAAUGGAAAAUCUAGUGGCGAACGGGUGCGUAACACGUGGGCAAUCUGCCUUAAAGUGGGGGAUAGCUCGGCGAAAGCCGGAUUAAUACCGCAUGUGAUCAGCGAGGACAUCUUCGCGAAAUCAAAGGUGGCGCAAGCUACCGCUUUUUGAGGAGCCCGCGGCCUAUCAGCUUGUUGGUGAGGUAACGGCUCACCAAGGCGAUGACGGGUAGCUGGUCUGAGAGGACGACCAGUCACACUGGGACUGAGACACGGCCCAGACACCUACGGGUGGCAGCAGUCGAGAAUUUUUCUCAAUGGGGGAAACCCUGAAGGAGCGACGCCGCGUGGAGGAUGAAGGUCUUCGGGUUGUAAACUCCUGUCAUUUGGGAACAAUGCGUACGUAGUAACUGUACGUGCGUUGAUAGUACCAGAAGAGGAAGAGACGGCUAACUCUGUGCCAGCAGCCGCGGUAAUACAGAGGUCUCAAGCGUUGUUCGGAUUCAUUGGGCGUAAAGGGUGCGUAGGCGGCGCGGUAAGUCGGGUGUGAAAUCUCGGAGCUUAACUCCGAAAUUGCAUUCGAUACUGCCGUGCUUGAGGACUGGAGAGGAGACUGGAAUUCUCGGUGUAGCA